rnacentral:rRNA from 1 species
AGUGAACGCUGGCGGUAGGCCUAACACAUGCAAGUCGAACGGCAGCACAGUAAGAGCUUGCUCUUACGGGUGGCGAGUGGCGGACGGGUGAGGAAUACAUCGGAAUCUACUUUUUCGUGGGGGAUAACGUAGGGAAACUUACGCUAAUACCGCAUACGACCUACGGGUGAAAGCAGGGGAUCUUCGGACCUUGCGCGAUUGAAUGAGCCGAUGUCGGAUUAGCUAGUUGGCGGGGUAAAGGCCCACCAAGGCGACGAUCCGUAGCUGGUCUGAGAGGAUGAUCAGCCAGACUGGAACUGAGACACGGUCCAGACUCCUACGGGAGGCAGCAGUGGGGAAUAUUGGACAAAGGGCGCAAGCCUGAUCCAGCCAUACCGCGUGGGUGAAGAAGGCCUUCGGGUUGUAAAGCCCUUUUGUUGGGAAAGAAAAGCAGCAGGUUAAUACCCCGCUGUUCUGACGGUACCCAAAGAAUAAGCACCGGCUAACUUCGUG